AAAACCGGAAGGGUCUUCCCAAAAACCCUGAAAUUCCCCCGGCGGUUUUCACGGUGAAAAAAUGGAAUCGCAAGCCCUGUGCUUGGAGCUCACUCCUCCUAGAUUUCGAUUAUCAUCUCAAAAUUUUGCCUCACAUCCUCCUCGGUUGCAGCAUUUACGCAUUCGUUUGGCAGCCGAGAAGAUCGGAUAGAGUUCUCAUGUAAUCGGCGAUGGAAUUACAACGUUCGCUGUAAAAUGGGUUCUCUUCUUUUUCUGUUAUUCCUUUUUGUUUCAGAAAGCUUUGCCUAUGGGUUUCGGAAUGCGUCGUAUUGUGAGUAAGCUAAGAACGGCAUCCUCAUAGCCAUAGAAAUUGUCGCUUCUAUUUGCUAUGAGUUCGAUGUUUUAUGCCGGUCUUGCUAUGUUUCUGUGUGCAACUGAACCACACUUAGAGUUCAGUUGCGAGAGAUUGGAUCCAAUCAUGGUAUUGCCUUUCCGAUGAUCCGAAUGUGCUCUUUACAUGAACUGGCCAGCUCUAGGAAUAGAUAUGUAUAUGUUGAUGGCAAUGGUUCCUUGAAGUUAUUAAUGUGGCAUACAAUCUAAAAAAUCUUCUGGUUCUUUGUGUAGUGAACGUUUUAUAGGAUUAGGGUUACGCUUUUGGUGAUCGUUGAUUUGGAAUUAGAAAUCGUGUAUUGUAUUGUAUUGUAUAGUUGAAAACUACUGAUUCCUAGCUGUUAUUUAUCUCUGGUCACUCUAUCAUAUCUCUCUUAGACCUCUUCCCUUCCCGGCCCAUAAAACUACUGAUUCCAAGUGUAAUGCUGUACAUGUAGCCCAUUGGAGCUGCUUUCGUGUUUCGGUUUUGCCCGUUUCAGAAUACGAGAUGGAACACCGAAACGAGCUUUAUAGUGUGUAUGCAAUAGGAUGUCUGAUUUAGCAAUUUCUCCCGCAGCAUUUUUGCCUUAUGGAACUUUUGUUUUCUGUAUGUAGAGCUCGGCUUGUGUUGCGGGCUACGGGUUCAACAUGAGAAACGAGAGUGGUGACAUCAUUGGCGAAGUUUUAUCCAAACCCUGGAUAUAUCCUUAAACAUUUUGUGUGUUUCGUUACCAAUGAUCUCUGCGUAAGCGUCUUUGAAUCUCUAAAAAGAUGAAAUAGCUUGCUUGUUAUCUCUUACAAUGUUCUCUAUAUAUUCUUGGUGAAGUUGUGGCUGUGUCUCUAUAUCCGAUGGCAACGACUGAAUCGUGCUUGAUUCUGGUUUAUGCCACCAUUGUUAACUA